rnacentral:lncRNA from 1 species
AUCAAACUUCUCGUGUAGGGCAAUUCUUGGUUCUCUAACAUUUGAAGGGCGUUCCACCAUAGGAGAAAGGACAUAUUUUGGUGCAGAUGUUGAAGUAGCUCCAACCAUUUCUAUAUCUUCACUUCUUGUCAAUCUUGUUGCUCCUUGUGGUGGUAAAUUGAGUUGAUGCAUUGCAAGCAUUAACUCCCUCAAUUGCUCUUGCAUUUGUGUCAUUGCACUCUUCAUUUUAAGUAGUUCUGCCAUGAUAACACUUAGAAAAAAGAAGAUGUCUAAUAUCGCUCAAGACAAAUAGAAGAGAGGACUUGCGGACAAAGAAAAUACUAAGGACAAUAUCAGUUUAGAAGAGGGUAAUCC